GACGAACGCUGGCGGCGUGGCUAAUACAUGCAAGUUGAGCGCUGAAGGUUGGUACUUGUACCGACUGGAUGAGCAGCGAACGGGUGAGUAACGCGUGGGGAAUCUGCCUUUGAGCGGGGGACAACAUUUGGAAACGAAUGCUAAUACCGCAUAGAAACUUUAAACACAAGUUUUAAGUUUGAAAGAUGCAAUUGCAUCACUCAAAGAUGAUCCCGCGUUGUAUUAGCUAGUUGGUGAGGUAAAGGCUCACCAAGGCGAUGAUACAUAGCCGACCUGAGAGGGUGAUCGGCCACAUUGGGACUGAGACACGGCCCAAACUCCUACGGGAGGCAGCAGUAGGGAAUCUUCGGCAAUAGACGAAAGUCUGACCGAGCAACGCCGCGUGAGUGAAGAAGGUUUUCGGAUCGUAAAACUCUGUUGGUGGAGAAGAACGUUGGUGAGAGUGGAAAGCUCAUCAAGUGACGGUAACUACCCAGAAAGGGACGGCUAACUACGUG
rnacentral:rRNA from 1 species